GUGAACAUACCUACAACUGUUGCUUCGGCGGGUAGGGUCUCCGCGACCCUCCCGGCCUCCCGCCUCCGGGCGGGUCGGCGCCCGCCGGAGGAUAACCAAACUCUGAUUUAACGACGUUUCUUCUGAGUGGUACAAGCAAAUAAUCAAAACUUUUAACAACGGAUCUCUUGGUUCUGGCAUCGAUGAAGAACGCAGCGAAAUGCGAUAAGUAAUGUGAAUUGCAGAAUUCAGUGAAUCAUCGAAUCUUUGAACGCACAUUGCGCCCGCCAGCAUUCUGGCGGGCAUGCCUGUUCGAGCGUCAUUUCAACCCUCAAGCUCUGCUUGGUGUUGGGGCCCUACAGCCGAUGUAGGCCCUCAAAGGUAGUGGCGGACCCUCCCGGAGCCUCCUUUGCGUAGUAACUUUACGUCUCGCACUGGGAUCCGGAGGGACUCUUGCCGUAAAACCCCCCAAUUUUCCAAAGGUUGACCUCGGAUCAGGUAGGAAUACCCGCUGAACUUAAGCAUAUCAA
rnacentral:rRNA from 1 species